AUGAAACACUGGCUGACAAACAUCCUGAUUCUGACUCUCUGGAAAGAGUGUAAAGGACAAGACAGAGUGAUCCAGCAUGGAGGAGAUGUUAUUGCUACUGAAGGAGAGACACUUACACUUGAUUGUACAUUUGAAACCACCAGCAACAACGCCUAUUUGUUCUGGUACAAACAAGAGAUGAAUGAUUUCCCCAAGUUUAUGCUGCAGCGCUACACCUUUGGAUCAGAAUAUAAUGCUGAAGAGUUCCCCAAAGAGAAAUUUGAUGCUCAAAUCAUCAACACAUCAGUUCCUCUGAGGAUCCAGAAGCUGCAGCCGUCAGACUCUGCUCUGUACUACUGUUCGCCUCGGUCUGGUAGAGAGCGGGGCAACUGUAUCAAGGAGACUGGAGAGGGCCACAUUGAGGGAACUAGUAAGGUUUUCAACAGAGCCUGUCUCUACAGUGAGAGGAGCCAAAACUCCAGGCAACUGCUGGCUAAACGCAGCAACAGCAGAGGGACCAAUAUGGCGACUAGUGAUUACAUCUGUGCCACCACUAACAGGACAGGCCAGUGA